rnacentral:rRNA from 1 species
AGUGAACGCUGGCGGCAGGCCUAACACAUGCCAGUCGAACGGCAGCACAAGAGAGUUUGCCCUCUGGGUUGCGAGUCGCGGACGGGAGUGAAAUGCAGCGGAAUCUGCCCAUUUGUUGGGGAUAACCCCGGGAAACCGGGACUAAUCCCGCAUACGACCUACGGGUGAAAGCAGGGGAUUUUCGGACCGUUCUCAGGUGGAUUAGCCGUUGCCGGAUUAGCUAGUUGGAGGGGUAAAGGCCCACCAAGGCGACGAUGCGUAGCUGGUCUGAGAGGAUGAUCAGCCACACUGGAACUGAGACACGGCCCAGACUCCUACGGGAGGCAGCAGUGGGGAAUCUUGCACAAUGGGCGAAAGCCUGACGCAGCAACGCCGCGUGAGUGAUGAAGGCCUUCGGGUUGUAAAGCACUUUUAUUGGGAAAGAAAAAAAGUCGAUGAAUACACGGACGUCAUGACGGUACCCAAAGAGAAAGCCCCGGCUAACUUCGUG